rnacentral:rRNA from 1 species
AACGAACGCUGGCGGCAUGCCUAACACAUGCAAGUCGAACGAGACGUUCCGGCCUUUGUGCGCACGGCUAGUUGACGCGUGGGAACCUGCCCUUAGGUUCGGUAUAACUCCCCGAAAGGGAUGCUAAUACCGCUUAAUCUCUUCCCGCCAAAGAUUUAUUGCUUUUGGGUGGGCCCGGGUUGGAUUAGCUAGUUGGUAGGGUAAAAGCCUACCAUGGGCACGAUGCAGAGCUGGUAUGAUAGCAGGAUCAGCCCCACUGGGAAUGAGACACGGCCCAGACUGGGACGCGAGGCAGCAGUGGAGAAUAUUAGACGAGGGGCGAUAGCGUGAUCAAGCAAUGCGGGGUGAGUGAGGAAGGCGGUUGGAUUGUAAUGCUCUUUUACCCGGGAUGAGAAUGACAGUAACGGGUGAAUAAGCACCGGCUAACUACGUG